CAGUCGCCGCGGGAAUACGCAGGGCGCAAGCGUUGUCCGGAAUUAUUGGGCGUAAAGAGCUCGUAGGCGGCUUGUCGCGUCUGCUGUGAAAUCCCGGGGCUUAACCCCGGGCCUGCAGUGGAUACGGGCUGGCUAGAGGCAGGCAGGGGAGAACGGAAUUCCCGGUGUAGCGGUGAAAUGCGCAGAUAUCGGGAGGAGCACCGGUGGCGAAGGCGGUUCUCUGGGCCUGUUCUGACGCUGAGGAGCGAAAGCGUGGGGAGCAAACAGGAUUAGAUACCCGCGUAGUCCCUGUCUCUUAUAC
rnacentral:rRNA from 1 species